UCACAAAUUGCCCUGAAAGUUGUGUUUGCAUGGUCAGCUGUGUUGUUGAGAGUAAGAUAAGUUACCAUGCAGCAUCAUUUGAUUUUAUUUGUUUGAAGGGCUGUUAGUGGCUUGCUGUUUACCUUUCUGGUAUACUUGGCAAGCAUGACAUUCAUAAUAUUCACUUCUGCUGCAUUUUUUACUAGCUGCUUCUGCGAGCAGGAACUGCAAGGGUAUCUGGUUUCGCUGUUCUUCGGUGCCUUAUUUCAUAUUUUACUUUUCUAGCUUGUGCAGCAACCUCGAAUUUGGCUCCUUUGAUGGAAUGAUCGUAGCUGAAGGCGCAGCAGCAGCCAGUCACGGUAUUGAAGAUGUACCAGCAACAGGAGAUGCAGACGACUUCUAAGAGAAGGUGGUGCCAGAAAGCUUAGAAAGUGGACCGCAUACAGACACACAACCUGCAAGCAAGACAACGGAAUGAUAAAUGUAAUUAUGGUAUAAAGUUCCCUAAAAAAACAGCAAGUGUUUUUCUUCAGGCAGCCUGACGACGUAGAAAGUGAUAUUGAGCCAGAAGUGGUGCUUGACACAACUGAAACGUAUGUAGGACUAGGUGCCCCUACCCAUUUAUGUAUACAAUACCAAAACUAGCUCACCAACUUCAUCCCUUAUAGGGUACCAAGACCAAGAAAAGUGGCAAUGACAUCCAAACAUCCCCAGCGGUAAUGUAGAAAUUGGUAUCGUGAUAGUCAACAGUAGUGGAGACAUCCUUUUCUUUGCAGCCCCGAUGUCAGUGGUCCCUCCAAUGCGGCAGUUGCUGCCGCAUGCCUUGACCACCUGAAGGCAGUUGGAAAAGAGCGCCGACAAAAAGAGGAGACCCAGGACACUGUCUACCAUUUCUGCAUGGCAGCUGCUGGAUUUUUACGGUCACUGCCAUCCGAUGACCAAUUUGGCUGUAUGUGUGCAAUCCAAGCCACAAUUCAAGAAAAAGUAAUGGAAGUGAGGGCUCGGAGGAGCGAAAAAUAGUCCUGAAAACAUAGCUGCAUGGUACAAUGUACAUACACUCUUUUUUUCUCUGAUAUUUAUCUGUGGUAUUUAAGUGCCAUUGCGUGUUUGUCAUCUUACACAGUUGACUCCCAUGUCGCUACUCACGCCAGCGCUCCCAUACUGCCCCUUCCUCUGCGAAGGCGCUGAGUGGUCUGUGACUGUACAUACAAACAUGUCUUCCUCAAAUUCUUUGCCUCAACAUAUUGUGAAAUGAAAAUACAUAGAGCUGUGCUCAAAUUUUGCAUUAGGGAUUAUCGUAAUUUUCAGACUAUUUCCCGCUAUUACUAUGUCAGGUAUGUAAGUUGUAGGCAUUUUCUUGUUUUGAAAUUCCACACUCAUACUCAACAAUCAUUACCUAGCAGCCCUGUGGCUAGUUUUAGUCGCAUUCCAUUUUUUUUUCUGAUACCAUGUAUCCCAGAGCCUAUAGUGCCUCGAACAAGUCCUCUAUGGCAGAAAGUUAGUAUCUGUCUUUUUCCCCUAGUACUAUGUGUGAUACUUAAGCUCUUGUGCAAAUAACGAUAAGGGCUUAGCGUGUUCAACUCAUCCUACACUGCACAGAACUAUACAGUACAACGUUUUUACCUGUGAUACGUAUUUAUUGAAAAUACGAGUGAUAUUUAAGGCCUUGUCCAGGACAGUAAAAAUAAGGGUUUGUUGUUCUUUGAUCUCGAUCCGUGGUAUACAGAACUGCACAGUACAAUCUGCCAAGUUUAAGAUUUGUGUACCAAGUCUGUACAUGUGAUAGUUAAGCUCGUCUAAAGUUGUGAAGUAAGUGUUUGGAAAGCGCAGAACUGCGCGGUACAUUUAGUACCCAUUUUUUAUCCUUUUGAUAUAAAUUGUACCCUCAGGAUCGUGGAAAAAAGGGCUAGUCAUGCUGUGCACAGAGCUGCACAGCCUAGUGUUUCUAUCCAGGUUUUCGUUGAAAGCGUUUUUUUUCUAAGCUGCGCUAUGUUUUUAAUCGCAGUACUAUUUGCAAUACGGUCACAUGUAUACAAGAAAUGUUUAUUGCAAAUAAAGACCUACUUUCUA